GGGAAACGGCAUACCAAGGCGACGAUGCGUAGCCGACAUGAGAGGGUGACCGGCCACACUGGGAAUGAGACACGGCCCAGACUCCUACGGGAGGCAGCAGUAGGGAAUUUUCCACAAUGGACGAAAGUCUGAUGGAGCAACGCCGCGUGAACGAUGAAGGUCUUCGGAUUGUAAAGUUCUGUUGUCAGGGACGAACACGUACCGUUCGAAUAGGGCGGUACCUUGACGGUACCUGACGAGAAAGCCACGGCUAACUACGUGCCAGCAGCCGCGGUAAUACGUAGGUGGCAAGCGUUGUCCGGAUUUAUUGGGCGUAAAGCGCGCGCAGGCGGUUCCUUAAGUCUGAUGUGAAAUCUCGCGGCUCAACCGCGAGCGGCCAUUGGAAACUGGGGAACUUGAGUGCAGGAGAGGGGAGCGGAAUUCCACGUGUAGCGGUGAAAUGCGUAGAGAUGUGGAGGAACACCAGUGGCGAAGGCGGCUCUCUGGCCUGUAACUGACGCUGAGGCGCGAAAGCGUGGGGAGCGAACAGGAUUAGAUACCCUGGUAGUCCACGCCGUAAACGAUGAGUGCUAAGUGUUAGAGGGUAUCCACCCUUUAGUGCUGCAGCAAACGCAUUAAGCACUCCGCCUGGGGAGUACGGCCGCAAGGCUGAAACUCAAAGGAAUUGACGG
rnacentral:rRNA from 1 species